GACGAACUGUGCAAACGUUAUUCGGAAUCACUGGGCUUGAAGAGUGCGUAGGCGGUUUUGUAAGUAGGGUGUGAAAGCCCCCAGCUCAACUGGGGAACUGCGUCCUAAACUGCGAGGCUGGAGUGAGGUAGGGGUGUGUGGAACUUCCGGUGGAGCGGUGAAAUGUGUUGAUAUCGGAAGGAACGCCGGUGGCGAAAGCGACACACUGGGCCUUGUCUGACGCUGAGGCACGAAAGCCAGGGGAGCAAACGGG
rnacentral:rRNA from 1 species